AGCGGGGUGGCUUGAGAGAUCCUCUGAUUUUCAAGAAUUCUGAUGGACUCGGAAUAAAAAUGCCGGAUCCAGACUUCACUGUGAAUGAUGUCAAAAUGUGUGUGGGGAGUCGUCGCAUGGUGGAUGUCAUGGACGUGAACACACAGAAAGGCAUUGAAAUGACCAUGGCUCAGUGGACACGCUACUAUGAGACCCCAGAGGAGGAGCGAGA
rnacentral:lncRNA from 1 species